rnacentral:rRNA from 1 species
UGUGCAGGCGGUCUAGCAAGUUGGAUGUGAAAUCUCCCGGCUUAACUGGGAGAGGUCGUUCAAUACUGUUAGACUAGAGAAUGGGAGAGGGAGGUGGAAUUCCGGGUGUAGUGGUGAAAUGCGUAGAUAUCCGGAGGAACACCAGUGGCGAAAGCGGCCUCCUAGACCAUUUCUGACGCUAAGACACGAAAGCUAGGGUAGCAAACG